CAAGAUUACGUCCAGCAAUAUCUGAAACUGCGAACUGGAUUAGCGAAAUGCAAGUGGAGUCGCGCAGUGGAGCUUUCUAUGCUGGGGACUUCGAGCGAUGAGGACGCCUCUUUGCGGAAUGAUUUUUUGGCAUCUCUUCGACGAGUUAUUCGAGACAACGUGGCAGAUAUCGAUGUCCGCCUUGAGAGCUGAAAUAGCUCAAAUGGCUCAAAGGAGCGAGCAAUUGUCGACGCGGGAACCCCAUCGUACAAUCGUCGAUUUAUGGGCAGUGAAACUGGCCCGCCAUCUACCGGAGAGUCGGCGACACUAAUCCACCACCU